rnacentral:lncRNA from 10 species
AAACUCUGCCUGCUUUUAGAUGGCUCCUCUUAGAACUAUGCAUCUCUCCUGAUACUUGGAUGCUUUUCCUCUGACUGAUGAAGAUCCUGAAUACCAAAGAGGGCCGCUGACAGGUCUAGGAGUACACUUCUAGCACCUAGCAGAGAGAGGCUUCACUACAUCAUGCUUCCUGACAUCUCUCCCUUUGAAGAGCAGUCAGACUCCUGCUUUGCUCUUCAGACUUAAUUUGGGGGUUUAACAGCCAUGUGAAGUGCUCACUCCCCCUUUGCCUUCUGCCAUGAUUGUGUGUUUCCUGAGGCCUCCCCAGAAGCUGAGAAGAUGCUUCCUGUACAGCCUGCAGAACUGUUUGAAUGAGAGAGGCAGAAGCACAUUUCCAAUCACUGGGGGAACCUGAGACCAUUCUUUCCAACCCAUUUUGCCAAAUGGAUGUCCUGAGGAAGGUGUUCCAAGAGAGGCGAUGUCAGGAUAGUG